rnacentral:lncRNA from 1 species
UAUCUAUUGAAAACUACAUUCAUGAUUAUAUUUUAUAAACAGAGCUAACUUUUCGGAGCUUUCAUGGAAUGUUUAAAAACUUAAAAAAUAUUUUUUUUUCUGUUUUUUACUGAAAAAUGGACUUAUCGGUAGUUUUUGUCAAUCAAUAUUACACUAUCACACUAACAGUAGCAAUUAUAAGGUGACACACAAUGUUUCACAGACUCUUCACUAAUUUUUUUUUCAUACCAUUUAUCACACCUUUCUUAAUGUAUAAUAUAACACAAUUGGCUUGCUAUAACAUAUAUUUUAAGCUUAAGUGAUAUUGUUUAAGUUCUGCAUAAUUAUGUGUCAAUUUCUCAGAAACUUCAUGUGAUAAACUAUUAAUGACAUUUUACUACUAUAUUCUUAAUAUAGAUUAAUAGUAUUGGUGUUUUAUGUUGUCUGUGUAAUAACUUGAGAACCAUUGGUUAAACUGAAGUAUAAGGUUAGUUAAGUUCCGUCAGUACAGAGAGACGUUUUCAUUUUAGUAAAUCAUUUUUUAUAUUCAUUGUUGAGACAAGCUAUUAAAUUUAAGUAAAAUUCUAACCAAGUUGGCUAGUUAGAAUUUGAAUUAGUCAGCAAGUUGUUAUGGUGCCAUUUGAAAUACUUUUGAAAUACAGAAUAGCUAUCUAGUAAAGCACUAUUGCCUAUAUGUUGUCAUACUAUAGUCCAAAUUAUGUACAUGCAGGCAUGCCAAUCAUUAUACUGAAAUACAAUCAAUGAACCAUACUACUAGCUAUCUACAUAUCAACUUACCAACUUGUCAACCAAAACCAUACAGGCAUUAUUUCAAUAUUGCUGUCAAUUCAACAAUUUAUGGAACUAAUUGGUACAAUUAUGUUGAGCUGUACUUAUUAACCAAUAAACAUACUGCUUGUAGGGACAAAAAUCAGCUUAAUUUUGAUAUUGGCAAUUUCCAUUUAUGCUGUUAUGACCUUAAUUGAUUGAAAAAUAACACUUAUAUACAAAAUAUGAACAAAACCUGAGUUGCUGUUCCUUUUGACAGCCUCUUGUCUACACUUAGGUUAAAAAAAAUUCCAGGGUUUCCUUUUACCAGCUUAAUAUACCGGUAUGUCUCUGUAAAGGUGACCAAUAUGCAUGACUCAGUGAAGAACAUUUAGAUUGUUUUAUGAUGCAUUUGCAUAAACUCAAAAUAUUUUCUUACUGUGUAUGUUAUGAUUUUGUUUUUUAUUGGAGUACAAAUUUUAAAUAAUUCAUCAACACUUGUAUGUUGAAGCAAUAAUUUAUGUGCAAUGGUGUCUGUAACUCUUGAAUAUUUUUUAUGAAUAAGCUUGCUGGAGACCAAAGCACUGAUUGACCCAUCUUCAUUGAUUGAAAGCAAGGGUUUUCUUUUUUGAUAGACUGUUUGAUUCUAAAUUUCUUUUAAAAAAAGAUAUUUGUUACAGAAG